rnacentral:rRNA from 1 species
GAACGGGUGAGUAACACGUGAGCAACCUGCCCCAGGCUUUGGGAUAACCCCGGGAAACCGGGGCUAAUACCGAAUAUGACCUCUGACCGCAUGGUUGGUGGUGGAAAGUUUUUCGGCUUGGGAUGGGCUCGCGGCCUAUCAGCUUGUUGGUGGGGUGAUGGCCUACCAAGGCGACGACGGGUAGCCGGCCUGAGAGGGCGACCGGCCACACUGGGACUGAGACACGGCCCAGACUCCUACGGGAGGCAGCAGUGGGGAAUAUUGCACAAUGGGCGGAAGCCUGAUGCAGCGACGCCGCGUGAGGGAUGACGGCCUUCGGGUUGUAAACCUCUUUCAGCAGGGACGAAGCGUAAGUGACGGUACCUGCAGAAGAAGCGCCGGCCAACUACGUGCCAGCAGCCGCGGUAAGACGUAGGGCGCGAGCGUUGUCCGGAUUUAUUGGGCGUAAAGAGCUCGUAGGCGGCUUGUCGCGUCGACCGUGAAAACUUGGGGCUCAACCCCAAGCCUGCGGUCGAUACGGGCAGGCUAGAGUUCGGUAGGGGAGACUGGAAUUCCUGGUG